CGGGGUGCAGCAGGCGCGAAAACUUUACAAUGCCGGCAACGGCGAUAAGGGAACCUCGAGUGCCAGGUUAUAAAUCUGGCUGUCGUGAUGCCUAAAAAGCAUUGCAUAGCAAGGGCCGGGCAAGACCGGUGCCAGCCGCCGCGGUAACACCGGCGGCUCGAGUGGUAACCGUUAUUAUUGGGUCUAAAGGGUCUGUAGCCGGCCGGAUAAGUCUCUUGGGAAAUCCAGCAGCUCAACUGUUGGGCUUCCAGGAGAUACUGUCUGGCUCGAGGCCGGGAGAGGUGAGAGGUACUUCAGGGGUAGGGGUGAAAUCUUGUAAUCCUUGAAGGACCACCAGUGGCGAAGGCGUCUCACCAGAACGGACCUGACGGCAAGGGACGAAAGCUAGGGGCACGAACCGGAUUAGAUACCCGGGUAGUCCUAGCCGUAAACGAUACUCGCUAGGUGUCGGCCACGGUGCGACCGUGGUCAGUGCCGUAGGGAAGCCGUGAAGCGAGCCACCUGGGAAGUACGGCCGCAAGGCUGAAACUUAAAGGAAUGG
rnacentral:rRNA from 1 species